UGGAGUAGUAAUUGGAGGCACCGUCACCGGAGGGAGGUUAAUGGGUGGCUUCACAAUUGGAGGGAUCAAUGGGGGGAGGUUGAUUGGCGGCUUCACAACGGGAGGGAGUGUCACCGGAGGGACUGUGACUGGUGGCUUCACAAUUGGAGGAACAGUAACCGGUGGCAAGUUGAUUGGAGGUUUAACAAUGGGAGGGAUGGUAAUGGGACCCUUAGGGGACUUUCCCUUGGGCUUUCUGUGCUUCGGGGGUGGCUUGCCGCAGGUUCCACAGCCAAGAAUUGG
rnacentral:lncRNA from 1 species